rnacentral:rRNA from 1 species
GACGAACGCUGGCGGCGUGCUUAACACAUGCAAGUCGAACGGAAAGGCCCUGCUUUUGUGGGGUGCUCGAGUGGCGAACGGGUGAGUAACACGUGAGUAACCUGCCCUUGACUUUGGGAUAACUUCAGGAAACUGGGGCUAAUACCGGAUAGGAGCUCCUGCUGCAUGGUGGGGGUUGGAAAGUUUCGGCGGUUGGGGAUGGACUCGCGGCUUAUCAGCUUGUUGGUGGGGUAGUGGCUUACCAAGGCUUUGACGGGUAGCCGGCCUGAGAGGGUGACCGGCCACAUUGGGACUGAGAUACGGCCAAGACUCCUACGGGAGGCAGCAGUGGGGAAUAUUGCACAAUGGGCGGAAGCCUGAUGCAGCAACGCCGCGUGCGGGAUGACGGCCUUCGGGUUGUAAACCGCUUUCGCCUGUGACGAGGCGUGAGUGACGGUAAUGGGUAAAGAAGCACCGGCUAACUACGUG